rnacentral:rRNA from 1 species
GAUGAACGCUGGCGGCGUGCCUAAUACAUGCCAGUCGAGCGAACGGACGAGAAGCUUGCUUCUCUGAUGUUAGCGGCGGACGGGUGAGUAACACGUGGAUAACCUACCUAUAAGACUGGGAUAACUUCGGGAAACCGGAGCUAAUACCGGAUGAUAUUUUGAACCGCAUGGUUCAAAAGUGAAAGACGGUCUUGCUGUCACUUAUAGAUGGAUCCGCGCUGCAUUAGCUAGUUGGUAAGGUAACGGCUUACCAAGGCAACGAUGCAUAGCCGACCUGAGAGGGUGAUCGGCCACACUGGAACUGAGACACGGUCCAGACUCCUACGGGAGGCAGCAGUAGGGAAUCUUCCGCAAUGGGCGAAAGCCUGACGGAGCAACGCCGCGUGAGUGAUGAAGGUCUUCGGAUCGUAAAACUCUGUUAUUAGGGAAGAACAUAUGUGUAAGUAACUGUGCACAUCUUGACGGUACCUAAUCAGAAAGCCACGGCCAACUACGUG